AAUGGGCGCAAGCCUGAUCCAGCCAUGCCGCGUGAGUGACGAAGGUCUUCGGAUUGUAAAGCUCUUUUGCCAGGGACGAUAAUGACGGUACCUGGAGAAUAAGCCCCGGCUAACUUCGUGCCAGCAGCCGCGGUAAUACGAAGGGGGCUAGCGUUGUUCGGAAUUACUGGGCGUAAAGCGCACGUAGGCGGAUUUGUAAGUCAGGGGUGAAAUCCCGGGGCUCAACCUCGGAACUGCCUUUGAUACUGCAAAUCUCGAGUCCGGAAGAGGUGAGUGGAAUUCCUAGUGUAGAGGUGAAAUUCGUAGAUAUUAGGAAGAACACCAGUGGCGAAGGCGGCUCACUGGUCCGGCACUGACGCUGAGGUGCGAAAGCGUGGGGAGCAAA
rnacentral:rRNA from 1 species